GUGAGGAAUAUUGGUCAAUGGACGAGAGUCUGAACCAGCCAAGUAGCGUGAAGGAUGACUGCCCUAUGGGUUGUAAACUUCUUUUAUACGGGAAUAAAGUGAGCCACGUGUGGCUUUUUGUAUGUACCGUAUGAAUAAGGAUCGGCUAACUCCGUGCCAGCAGCCGCGGUAAUACGGAGGAUCCGAGCGUUAUCCGGAUUUAUUGGGUUUAAAGGGAGCGUAGGCGGGUUGUUAAGUCAGUUGUGAAAGUUUGCGGCUCAACCGUAAAAUUGCAGUUGAUACUGGCGACCUUGAGUGCAACAGAGGUAGGCGGAAUUCGUGGUGUAGCGGUGAAAUGCUUAGAUAUCACGAAGAACUCCGAUUGCGAAGGCAGCUUACUGGAUUGUAACUGACGCUGAUGCUCGAAAGUGUGGGUAUCAAACAGGAUUAGAAACCCCUGUAGUCC
rnacentral:rRNA from 1 species